AUUACAAAAUAUUUUUUAAAUUGCGAUUAAAAAAUAUUUUAAAUAAUAACAUUUGCAUUGCUCAUCAAAAAUUUGUUUAAAUUAAGAAGUGAUUCGAAAAGCAUCUAUUUUAUCAUGCAAACCGUUACAUUCGUACUGUUGUUAAUAGUUGCGACAGCAUUGUCCGCGAAAUCAAGUUCCCGUGGCGGACUCAUCGAAGGACCGCCAACUGUGAGGUGCAAUGAAUACGCAGGUUUUUUAACGCCAACUCGUCUGUUACUACUAUCGCUGGCUAUGAUAUUGUUGGGCUUGAAACAAUCCCCACUAACACGAUUGGGACAAACAACGCCCGUCAAUCCGGUCCGCCCCACGCCAAAAUGAUGUGAAAACCAUAAUGUGAUAAUAAUGAUAAUAAUGAUUUGUGUAUGAAAUACUUAUAUUUUAAUAAAAUUAGUUUAAUACGCUUUUGCUCACAUUCGAAGUCUGGGAUAAA
rnacentral:lncRNA from 1 species